rnacentral:lncRNA from 1 species
CCCUGACAUUGGGAGUUUCAGAAUUUAUAUGGCCUUGGCUGAAAUGAAUAUGGAGCCCAAGAUGUAUGGAGAUGGUGUCAAAACCACAACAAAAAUAUAUUCAAGCACAGCUGAGGGCCACCACAUCUGGGAAAGUCUCCAGUGGUGAGAGACGGAGGCCCAAAGUGGGACCUCUGAGAGCCAGAGGCCAGGCUGAGCACAAGGGAGACAACAGGGUUACCAUGGCUGCCUGGAGAGUCAAGAGGAGACACAAAGGACACGGCUGCAUGGGACAAGAACUGCACUGGGCCUCUGUUCCAUGUGGAGACCAAGCAGGCUCACACUCACAUCCUCCUGGGACCCUGAGCAGCCCGGCAGCCCUGGACGGGGGUUAAAGGGGUCUGGGAGGGCACAGCACAGAAGUCAGAGAACAAGGAGCUGCUGGAGCCUGCAGCUUGUCCCCUCCCAG